rnacentral:rRNA from 1 species
UACGUAGGGGGCGAGCGUUAUCCGGAAUUACUGGGCGUAAAGCGCACGCAGGCGGUUCGCCAAGUUUGGAGUGACAGUUGUCGGCUCAACCGACAAAGGACUUCAAAAACUGGUGAACUUGAGGACGAGAGAGGAACAUGGAACUCCAGGUGUAGUAGUGAAAUGGCGUAGAUAUCUGGAAGAACACCAAUGGCGAAGGCAGAUCUCUGGGCCGUAACUGAACGGCUGAGGAG